rnacentral:rRNA from 1 species
UACGGGGGGGGCAAGCGUUGUUCGGACUUACUGGGCGUAAAGGGCUCGUAGGCGGCCAACUAAGUCAUACGUGAAAUCCCUCGGCUUAACCGGGGAACUGCGUCUGAUACUGGAUGGCUUGAGUUCGGGAGAGGGAUGCGGAAUUCCAGGUGUAGCGGUGAAAUGCGUAGAUAUCUGGAGGAACACCGGUGGCGAAGGCGGCAGCCUGGACCGACACUGACGCUGAGGAGCGAAAGCCAGGGGAGCAAACGGG